AUUUGAUCAGGUAUAGCCGAGAUUAAGCUGUUCAAAUGCGGCAGCCAGCUAUGAAUGAUACGACACGAAAACUACGCUGUGAUUCGAUUCCUCGACCCGCGGCCGAAGCAGCGUUCGCGCGGGACGAUACGAAAUCUCCGGUCUCAGAUCUAGCAUCGACGUGGGUCCCGCUUUUCUGGCCAAAGAAGGGCUCGCGAAGAGUGCCUGCUGUCUCGGCCGGUCCUCGAAGUGGUGAUGCGCCGGCAAUUUCUUACGUUAUCAAUUGUGAAGAAAAUGCCGGAGAGUCGGGGCACAAAGCAGACGGUGACACGAGCCGUGAUGCGAGCAAUCUCGUUGUGCACGCCUCUCCCUCAACGCCGCGGGUGGGCCAAUAUUCUGACGCACUCGUUUCCCGAUUCCCGGCGGUCGGUGCCGAGAAGCGAAGGGAAAGAAAAGCAAACGCGAGAGGCAAAGAACAAACGCCUGCCGGGCGUCCAACCGACAAAGUUCUCCGAGGACGAAGACGAUGCAAUGUUUUUAGGGGAAAAGAAAGGGGAGAAACGAUCGCGCACGUCGCUUCUCGUCAUCACCUCGCUCUUUUUUAUUUUUUCUUCUCAUCAUAUUCAAAUUCAGUGGCCCUUCUUUCUUGAUGGUUCACAGCCGAGCGAGAGGAUCACGUAUUAAAAUCGUUUUCUGCUGUCACGGAAAAUGAUUCCCGAGCUGGAAUUCGUCGUCCUUGACGCCUAUAAAACGCUCGAGACUAGGCGACAGAGAGAUCACAAGACGGCACACAGCGAGCCCUUGGUUUGAAUUGUUCUUAGGCAUUAUUACCUCUCUGCAUCUGCUUAACUGAAUCAGAGGUCACGGUUAUCUACUAAUCAUCUAGUUAUCAGUUAUGAGUUACAUUCCCACGGUGGUUGAUGAGACACGUCAGGGAAACGAAUGUUCCAACGGUGGACCAUUACAAAAUGGAAGAGAGAUCCUCUUUCAGGCUUUCAAUUGGGAGUCACACAAACAUGAUUGGUGGCAUAAUUUAGAGAUGAAAGUUGAUGAUAUUGCUAGAUCUGGCUUCACGUCAGCUUGGCUACCUCCAGCAACCAAUUCAUUAUCUAAAGAAGGGUAUCUGCCACAAAACUUGUAUUGCCUUGACUCUGCAUAUGGUUCUCACGAUGGAUUAAUAAGUUUAAUUCAAGAAAUGCAUCAACACAGAGUUAGAGCAAUGGCUGAUAUAGUUAUUAACCAUCGAGUUGGAACUACCCGUGGACAUGGGGGAGCAUACAACCGCUAUGAUGGAAUUCCCAUGCCCUGGGAUGAACGUGCUGUCACAUCAUGCUCUGGUGGCCUGGGUUCGCGAAGCUAUGGUGAAAACUUUGAUGGAGUUCCUAACAUUGAUCAUAGCCAAGCUUUUGUACGAGAAGACAUAAUUGGUUGGUUAAAGUGGCUUCGCGAAACUAUUGGUUUCCAGGAUUUUCGUUUUGAUUUUGCAAAAGGAUAUGACCCAAAAUUUGUAAAAGAAUAUGUUGAAGAGUCGGAGCCUGUAUUUUCUGUGGGAGAAUAUUGGGAUAGCUGUAAUUAUGUAGCCCCUGAUUAUCGCUUGGACGACAAUCAAGACAGUCACAGACGGAGGAUUAUUGACUGGAUUGAAAAAACCGGACAGGUCUCUGCAGCAUUUGAUUUCACGACAAAGGGCAUCCUACAGGAAGCAGUUAAGGGAUAACUAUGGCGACUGCGCGAUCGUCAAGGGAAGCCACCUGGUGUGAUUGGGUGGUGGUCUUCACGAGCAGUCACAUUUAUUGAGAAUCAUGACACUGGCUCAACUCAGGGUCAUUGGCCUUUUCCAUCUGAUCAUGUUAUGGAGGGAUAUGUUUAUAUACUCACGCAUCCAGGAAUACCAACAGUAUUCUACGACCACUUCUAUGAUUGGGAUAACUCUUAUCACAAUCAAAUCGUGAGAUUGAUGAACAUUCGUUGCUGUCAAGAUAUUAAUAGUCGUUCCAAGAUCGAGAUUUUGGAGGCUCGCUCCGACCUCUAUGCUGCAAGAAUCGACAACAAAGUCUGCAUGAAAAUUGGUGAUGGGUCAUGGUGUCCGAGCGGUCAGGAAUGGACACUUGCUGCUAGUGGAAAUAGAUACGCAGUCUGGCACAAGUAGUUUGAUAAAAUAAAUCAUUUUUCUUCACUCGUAUCUUCUGUUGACUGAAGUUAUCUUGCUUCCUGUUUUCUAAAUAAUCAUGAGUAAUUUAUUGAUGAUUUACACAUUAAAUUUUGGCUUAAUAGUGGUAUACCUUUAAAAAAAAAUUAUUGCUGAUUGGCGGGUGGUUGUUGUCGUAUAGAUUUAAAAUUUUCGCAGGUGAUGGCCUCACUAUAUAUAUAUUUAAAAAAAAAAAAAAAGGGCUAUAUGGCAAGGUUGAAUCAGCCUUUAUUUUCUGUUGGUGAUGACGCUCUCACAAGACUGAUACCAGCAUCAAGUGCAAAUGGGGUGAGUCACUCCUUGAAAGGUUCCAGGGAUGGCACCAAUCUCUCGAUACCCAACACGGGACCUGAUUUUUAGUGAUGAAUCAAGGCUCACCCAUCUCGGUGUUGGAUGCGCUCUAUGGUCAAUGGCGGAGCAUUCCUAGCAUUUCCAAACAGAUUACACUUAAUUUAAAUGCGUUGCCGUAUUAGUUAUAUUUGUAAGUUAGUAAAAAUUAUAUGUACUAAAUCAUCUUAAUCAAUCAUGAUGGAGUGAGUUCACCGCAGGGAUCGACGCAUCGCCCGUCAUACAUAAGCAGCAUCGGACGGUCGGCGUUGCUGCUUUAAGGCAGCUAUAUUGGUCGUCGCAUCUCUUAAAUUAACGGAGUAGAUACCCGCGGUCAUAAUUAAUUGCUCCAAGAACGCGUUCGUUACCCCCCUAAUCCCAACAACACCGCUUCAUCCCCUGUAGAUCGCCUUGAUCCUCGGUGGCUGGUGGCUAGCGGCACAGUGUUAAAGGCCACCGCAUGUCUCGUCCAAAAGAGAUGCAACCUUCUCUUUUGUCGAAGAAAGGGGCGUGAGACUUCAGAUCUCGUGGGAGAUCAACCAGACGUGCUUACGAUGGCCGUGGAUACCCAUCAUGAGAUUUGCUGCCUAUUAUGUCGCCAUUUUCGAGACGCCUGUAGUUUACGAGAGUUUAGGCCGCAUUUAUACGAACAUCUGCUGGGAGUUACGGUAUCACCUUAUACUUCUCUUGCAUUUUCUCUUUACAUCUUUCUCUCUCUAGACUAAAUUCUGUAUCAAAUUAUAUCCACCGGUAGUCUAGACUUUUCCAUUUGAUACGUACUUGGGGGCUGAGAUAUUACGUAGACUUGGCUAUAACUCAUGCACAAUGCUCUCUUCUAAAUUUUAUUUGAACUACUUAUGAGGUUAAAUCAAGGAAAAGGGAUAAACUUUUUCGAGAGUGGGUUCAGGAAUGCUGUACUUUGUCCGAUUUCUUAUUUUAAUGAUGUUGGACAAAGUGGCGUGUAAUAAUGGAUCAAUUGGUUGGUGAGGUAGAAUUGAUGCAAAUAAAACCCAUGGCAUGGGUGUGGAACAGAGGAAACAUAAUGGUGGGGUGGGGUGGGGUUGUCGACAUCAUCAAUGGUGGUAAAUCAUAAGACAAAUAAGGGAGGAAUUCUGCUGCUUGGUGCAGUUCUUCCAACAUCUUCUGCUUCCCUUUUCCCUUGUUCCCAUGGUAAAAGAAAGUGGGGUAUACAUUUUAAUUUUAAUAACAUGUUAAUGUUUUGUACCCUUCCUCACCCUCAGGAGUCCUGUCUGUUCCUCACCCUCUCUCUCUCUCUCUCUUAUAUGAACAGAGAAUAUCCCCCUCGUUUGUUCAGAAGGAUCAUAAGUUUGUAGGCACUUGUAGCUCAUUUAUUCUGCAGUUGUUGUCAUGUGGGUUUAUCAAAGGGUUGCUUGCAGAGUUUAUUGGCAUUCUGUCCAUCUCCAAGUCAUCCAUCUCUCGUGAACAUGGAGAAGCUUAUAGAUGGAGGUGGGCAUCCUGCCAACAGAUCUCUGUUGGCUUCUCUUUGUGAAACCCUUGUGACAGACCGACCUCGAUUGCAUGUAGCCCGGCUAUUCAUUCUCUCAUUAAAUAGAGAAAACAGGCACUUACUUGUAUUAUGAGAAUAUGAAAGAACGGUGAAAAACAUGCAGUUCCUUUUUUGUUUAUUCUUUUGAUAGGACAUAUGCAGGACUC